AUGUUAUUUUUAGUUUUUUACGUUUCGUGACACAUUAUAUACAUUAUAGUAUGUUUCCAGAAUAGUAGCUUACUGCAGUCAUGACCUAAUGGUUAGAGAGUUGGAUUUAGAACCUAAAGGUUGUGGGUUUGAGUCUCUGUGCUGGCAGGAAUGGUCAUGGGGGGAGGGAGUGAAUAACCAGCACUCUCUUUCACCCCAAGACUGAGGUGAGACCCUUGAGCAACCAAAGCUGAAACGAUUCCCGGGAACCACAGCAGUAUGGCUGCCCACAGUGUGUUUGUGCAGAUCCAGAAUAUGGGUCUGUACAGACUAUUUCCCAGCACUAUUUUGAUCCCCCCACCUGUCAGACCACAGUUGCGCCCCUGCUAAAUGCUUGGUAUGGUGUGAUUCCAAAUUUAGCAGGGCCAGGUGGGGACAAGCUUGUUUACACAAGGAUAUCAGGGUCUGAACGCAGUCAUUUCCACACACAUCCAUCCACCAGGCCCAUUCAACUUAUUUUUAUCUUAAGCGAGUGCACCCAUUUGUAGCAACUGAAUGUGCGAACCAAGGCAUUUUUAGUCAGCUGAAAACACCAGGCGCUGUUCUGCAAAAGCCUAACGUUAGCUGUGAACGCCUGCAAACGAUAAGGAGGGGUUUUUCUGUCUGAUAACAGUGAGCAGUCUGUAUCUGUCUUGACCAUCUUGAUGUCUUAUGUUCUGGACUCCAGCAAAUAAAAAAAAAUAAAAAAAAUAAUAAAAUAAAAAACCGUCUGCUCUGCGACUCUAGUUCCCACCCACUGAAACCGAGCCCGGGCUGGAUCCGUGUUACACCACUGAAAUGGACUGUAACGUGGAUUUGCCGGUUUGAAAACAGAUCCUGCUCGGAGUCAUCUGUUAUCCUCAAAAACCUCACCAAGGUUCCACCUGAGAGCCAGGACGGUCAAAUAGUAAGACUUUCUCAAUCACACCGGAAGCACCUCAUUGGUCUUUUUUCUUGACAAAGGCGUCAACAUCAAUGCCAGCUGAGCAAUCCUGGUCCCGACUAAUUCUUCGUCUCACAUUGGAACCCAGCCUUGGACAGGGUUCGAAGACUGCUAUGACUAGAUGACAGAGCCAGGAAGUUCAGAG
rnacentral:lncRNA from 1 species